rnacentral:tRNA from 1 species
UUACAUUUUAGUAUAUUAUGUACAGAAGUUUUUGAUACUUCAAGUAAUAGUUUAAUUCUAUUUAAUGUAAU